rnacentral:lncRNA from 1 species
GGGUUAUUUGUUUUUUCCUCAAUUUUGAAGGGUCAAUUAAAGUAGCUAAAAGUUUCAUUCUUUAUUUUCACUAAUAAUGCAACUAUAUUAUAUAUAUACCUUAAUGUAAGUAAAUCAUAUGAUUAUAUAUAUAGGUGGCAUUCUUUGGACCACUCUACCCCCUCCUGUUUGAUACCUUGGAAACGGUCGAGCUCCCCACCCCUAAACCAUAUGAGGGGGCAGAUCCAGAAUUUUAGGUUAGGAGGGGCGCAAACUUAAAUUUUCGCUGAGCAGAGCAAGGCUAAAAAAAAAAUUGAGGUAAAAUUCUCGGAAUAUUCUUUAUUAAGCUGAGAACAACCCAUGCUUUGCAAAUUUAAGGGGGUUGCAAGCCCGCAACCCUCCCCCGUCUGAAUCCGCCCCUGCAUAUAUUCAAGUAUAGGACAAUAUAAUAAAUAAAAAAUGAAAUAUAGGGGGAGUCCCUGGAGUUACCCCACCCCCUCCUGUUUGAGAACUUGGAAACGGUCGAGAUCCACACCCCUUAACCAUAUAUAUUCAUGUUUGUGACAAUAUGAAAAAUCAAAUGAAAUAUAGGAAGAGUUGCUAGGGGUCACCCCACCCCUCCUGUUUUAGAAUUUAAAAAUGGUCGAGAUCCCCAUCCCUAAACCAUAUAUAUUCAUGUAUGGGACAAUAUAACAAAUCAGAUGAAAGAUAGGGGGAGUCCCUGAGGUCACUGUUCACCCUCCUGUUUGAGAACUUGGAAAUGGUCAAGAUCCUUACCCCUAAACCAUAUAUACUCAUGUAUGGGACAAUAUAACAAAUCAAAUGAAAUAUAGGGGAAGUCCCUGUGGUCAUCCCAACCCUCCUGUUUGAGAACUUGGAAACGGUGGAGAUCCCCACACCAAAACAAUAUAUAUUCAUGUAUGGAUCAAUAUAACUAAUUAAAUGAAAUAUAGGGGGAGUCCCUUGGGUCACCCUACCCCUUCUGUUUGAGAACUUGGAAAUCAAUGAGAUCCCCACCCCUAAACCAUAUAUAUUCAUGUAUGGCCCAAUAUAACAAAUAAAAUGAAAUGUAGGGGAAGUCCCUAGGGUCACCCUACCCCUAGUGGCGGAUCCAGAAAUUUUUAUAAGUGGGGCCCACUUACUGACCUAAGAGUCACUAUAUAAGCAACCAAAUUUUUUCCAAAAAAGGGGGGGCUGGGCCCCCUGCCCCCUAAAUCCUCUGCCUACCCCUACCUGUUUGAGAACUUGAAAACCGUUGAGAUCCCCACCCCUAAAUUAUAUAUAUAUUCAUAUGUAUGGGACAAAAUAACAAAUCAUUUACAUUUACUAUGGGCAGGUCAGUCAGACCUCACCUUUGAUCCCUGUUGUAGUGAACAUUUGUCUAAUUCGUGUCUCAUAACUUUUGUACUAUAGAACACAAACUCAGUUUUCUUUCCAGGAAAACCAGUCCACUCAUACUAUUACAUGUUCAUACUAAGUCAAAUUGAACUUCUAGCAGUCAAAUAAAACCAAG